rnacentral:lncRNA from 10 species
GGCGGAAGUGCGGGCAGGGCCCCGGAACCCCCGGGAAACGGCUCCACAGCCGGGAGGAGGGGAUGCGUCUAAGUGCAGAGCCCACGCUCCCGGGGUCUUCCCCCGCCGUCCUCAGUGGAGGAGACACGCAGGAGGCGGACGGGUAUUUGUGGUGCAGCAGAUUCCCAACAGUAACCUCCUCCUCCUGGUGACAGACCCCACCUGUGACUGCAGCAUCUUCCCACCAGUGCUGCAGGAGGCGACAGAAGUCAAAUAUAUCCUGCAAUGCUCGGGGAUGUGUGCGGUGGGGGCGGGGGCUGUAGGAGGUGUCUGUAGGGCUCAGAUUUUGAGCAGCGGGGCCAGCCUCCUUCACCGCCCGUGUCCUCCACAGGGCUCCGUUAUUUGUUCUCUAACCCUUCCCUGGGCCCCGGUGCUGCCUCCUGACCCUAAAGCUGCUUGCAGGGCAACUGGUGGCACCAGAGCAGGUUCUUCCAGACCUUUUUCCAGUCUGCAGAAUGGGCUCCGGUCCUGAGAUAUUGACCUUAACAGUGGCUUCUGCACAUAAUGCCUCUGUCAAAUGUGACCGGAUGCGCUCCCAGAAGCUCCGCCGGCGACCAGACUCCUGCCACGCCUUCCAUCCAGAGGAGAAUGCCCAGGACUGCGGCGGCGCCUCGGACACCUCAGCCUCGCCGCCCCUACUCCUGCUGCCUGUGUGUGCCUGGGGGCUACUGCCCCAACUCCUGCGGUGACACCACCCAGCCUGACCUGUGUUUUGGCAAGGUGAUCCUUCCAGAGCCAUCCCAAAAAGUCAGCACUGACAUGGGAUGCAGCUAACUGCAGUUGGGUCGCCCCCAGGCCAACGCUCCUCUCAAUCCUGGGCUGGUGGCCCCUGGCUCCGGAGAAUGCUGGAUGGAACAGGAAACCAAUCACCUGGCACCACUUUCAAGAUGCUUCAUGGUGCCCGGUACCAUCUGCCCUAGGUCUCAACAUGAGCAUACUUCUGACCUAACCUUCCUGUCUCCUCUUCGGGAAGCCAGCGUGAGCUCAGCUUGGACCAAGACAAAAUAAUUUAGUUCUUCCUGUACUCCAGAGUCCAGACCCAGCCAAGAAAGGGUCAGUUGUUUCUGACCCUUUCUGUCGGAGUGGUCUCUGGUAGAACCCAAGGACUUCUGGGUACUGAGAAGCAGCAGCAGAAUGAGGCCAAAUGCAGAGAUGAGGCUAAGGCAAGAAUAUGCCCCAACUAAAGCAUAGAUUCCCCAAAGUGAGGCUCAUGGUGGGAGGCCACUCACCUUCCUAGCUGCUGCUCGAAAAGGUUUUGACUGUGUUGGGGUGGGGGUUGGGUAAGGGAAUGGUCAAGACUGAGAAAGGAAUGAAAUCCAUUCAGGAAAUAUCGACAGGGCUACACGUGAUGUCCCCAAACUGCUGCUAUUGAAGAACUUCCCAAAACUUCUUUACAAAGCCCUAAAGGAAAGUUUGCAUCUAUGAAAAGCCAAUAGGCUGAGACAUCCAAUUGCUGCAUGGAAAUUGAUGUACAUUCAGGGGACGGCAAAAAUAGCUGUAAAAUAGUGAAAAAGAGCAGUGGUUGUGCUCUUUUCUGGCCAAUGAUUUACAAAAGAAUCUACUUGACUCUGUCCCUGGAGUGAAAUCCUUAGGGUUGGAACUUGUGGGAACAUUCCAACUUGCUAAGCAGGGUCCACUGGGAGGGAAGCUCUAUCUGGGAACUCACCCCCAGCGCACACACAUCUCCCCCAGGGUCCCAAGGCCCCGCAGCUUCCUCCCCCGACCAAACCCCAAGACCUGGAUCCCAGGAGACAACAGUCUCCACAGUGAGAGCAACAUUAAGGGCAAAGCCAUGGAGAAAUGUGGGAGAGGCCGGCCUCAAAUCUUUCCAUUUAACAAACCCCAGUGAUGGGUAUGGACAGCAUGCAGGGCUUUUGGGGCGCUUCCCCCCGCUCCUCCAUCACCCUCAGCCUCCACACUUCAAAGUUCAAGUUCAAAGCUGUUCAAGUUUCCUACCAGCAAAUAGCCCUAACUUGCCUCUAGAGUAGGCCAAAUGCCAACUCUGUAAAACACACUUACAUUAUCGGUUACAGAAUGUCACUCUUACCGUCAUGUCUUGCAACAACCCUGUGAGGGCAGUAUUAAUGCCCCCUUACAGCAGAAGACACUGCAGCUCGAAGACAGCUUAAGUGGCAGAAUAAUGCUAGAACAGCUAAGGUUUACAUGUACCAAAUAACAUGUUUCAGCUCAUUCCAUCCUCACAACAGCCCCCUGAAAGUGGGUACUAUCAUUAGUCCCAUGUUAUAGAAACUGCAGCAGAGUUGAAAAUUGCCUCCAAAUUACCGGAAGAGUGUAUGAAGAUUGAAUGUGAUGUAUUCACGUAACAUGCUUGAAACUGCCUGGCAUAUACUAAACGCUAAAUAAAUACAUGCUAACUGCGAUCAUUACAUUACCUUGUUUCAUGGAGGUGGGGACAAAGAAAUUACAAUUUAGAUGCCAGGAACAAUAAGGUGUUCAACAGGCCCAGCAGGGUUAAGA